ACACAGAGCUGAAGGAAAUACCACUUUUCAGUUCAUAGCAACGUGCCUUUCCCAAGGGGAGUAAAGGAAACAGCAGUGGUUUCUGCUGCACAUGUAACCAUUUCCAUCCAGGGCUGAACUGACAUGCUGAGCAUUUGCCAUGCUUCCUGUCUUAUCAAUUAAUUCAAGACUAAAGCAAGUUGAGAAUCAACCCCUCCCCUUCACUAUUUUAAAAAAAAAGUGGUUUAGAAUUUAUCUCCAUACAGAUGUUGUUGCUGGGCACACAGUAAAGACGGGUGCCCCCUAGGAUCGUUGCAGCUGGAGGAGAUGGCGCGCAAAUCUGUCGUGCUGGGUGCUGUACUCACUGGACUCUGCUCAGAAGCGAGAGCAGCCCUGUGGCCUGCCACCCUUAAAGAGACUGCAGGGGCUUGAAAAUCCUCGCUAUCCGAGCCCUGCCCUUCGGCUUCCCGCGGUUGGCUGCCCCGCGCCCUCAGCCGGUGCUUCCUCCGCCCUGCACGCCUCACCCCUAAAGCUACGCCAGCUGCCGGCUCGAGCAGCAAGAUCGCCAAUUGCUAGCGAGCCGCGGGGAUCCUCUUCCUGUCCCAAGGGAUCGUGCCAGUCGGGGCUUUGCGCCUUCAAGAAAAAAUGCUCCGAAGUCUUGCCUCGUAUGGGACAAAGAGGUAUAAGCCUGGCUACCAACACCUGGGAUCUUAGCGGGGAACGGGGACCGUGUCCCCACCCUUGAAUGUAAACCUCAUCCAGGAGAGAGGUUUUGCCUCCUUUAUUCACUGCCAAGUCUCCAGAUCCUGGAAGAGCGCCUGCAACAGAUUUGAGGAGAAGGAAGCCUUUGUGUCUGGAGCCCUGGAAGCCUGGAAGCUUCACUGCGUUACACUUCCUGCGCACUUCUCCCAACUCUGCCAGGGAAAGCAUCUGAUCGCCGCUGGCCACAGCUUGGAACCCAUGGGCAUGAACAUGGCCUCCUCAAAGUCAUGCCAUGUUUCAGCAGAGGGAAGAAUGUAGGGCAGGCCACACUUUUGUUUCUUUUUUAUUCUCCGUCCAUUUACUUCUUGCAAUGCUAUCAAAUACAGCUAUCCUGAUACAUUAAAUUUUUAUGAAGAGUUGGUGGUAAAUAAAGAGAUCCUGUUGUGUAAGGGAAAUGAAAAG